GAGCGCUACGUGGAGCACCGGCUGCGCGCGGGCGACACGCUGCAGGGCAUCGCGCUCAAGUACGGCGUCACGAUGGAACAGAUAAAACGGGCAAAUAAACUAUUUACUAAUGACUGUAUAUUUCUGAGGAAAACCUUGAAUAUUCCAGUUAUAUCAGAGAAGCCGUUACUGUUUAAUGGACUCAAUUCACUGGAAUCUCCUGAAAAUGAAACUAUUGACAGUUCCCCUUCAUGUGAUGAAGGACCAGUGACAGUUCAGGAAGACAGUAGUUCUUCUCCCAGUCCUCAAGAAUCUGACAGUCGGCCUGCUGCACCUGAAGAACUGUCUGCCAAAGAUUUUCUACAGAGACUGGACUUGCAGAUUAAGCUGUCCAAACAGGCAGCCAGGAAACUAAAAGAAGAUGAUAUCAGAGAGGAAGAUGAGGAAAGCCCCUAUGCAACUUCUUCCUAUCAGCAGUAGAAGACAGACACAUGGUGACCUGGAAACCUGGAAUGAAAAUACAGUUCUUAAACUAAACAGCUGAUUACUCUGAAGCAAGUUGUUUAGACUGAGCAUCGCCAUGUGCUUUUUACAAGUCUCAAUUGGGUCAUUUCACUGAUUGUAAUUGCACUGAAAAUUUGACCUCUGCCUUCCAUAGUGAACAAAUAUCAAGAGACUGAACAUUUUGCUAUGGAAAACGUCUCACAACAGCUACAUCUCAACUUCAUUUUCAGCUAAGCCAGCCUAAAUCCACAGCAGCUCUGUUUCAAUUAAUAGAAUGUCUACAGCUCUUACAGUUAUUUAGAGAGAAGCCUGUGAUCCUACAACUCCAGCUGCACUCUUGCCAUCUUUCCCCAAGAGCUCAUUUAAUUUGAAUGUUCUACUACUCGAUGCCAUAGGUAUACUGACGUGUGCAGUGAGCACAAGGGAGGGGUAACAAGCUGUACAAUUCCAACAGUAGCAUUUUUUUUUCACAUGUGGGAAUGACUUAGCCAAGGUGCAAAGUAUCAGGGAACUAGACCCCUAUUUGCCAAGAAUAUUGUUGGUACCUAGAACUCCCACCACAGCCCCAAGACAUUUCUAAAAUCCACACUGCAGGUAGAGUUCAGGCAUUUCUAUUCAGUGUCCUUCAGUCCCAAAUAUGUUGCAUCUUCCACCAUUGCUACCAACAGAAUCAAAUCACAGCUACUAACCACCAGCACGAUGGUGCGAAUACAGUUAUGGUUACCCCAUGUAGGGUCUGAUUUUACAGCCCUUGGACAGGAAUGCUGCUGACAAAGAUAGAGGGUACAUCUACACAUGCAUUAAUGCACCUUUUCUAAUGCACAUUAGAUUUAGUAUCUCCCAUGAGAGGUACUACCAAAUUAAUGCACAUUAGGAUGUGCUGAUGCACAAUAGCACAUUUGCAUGCUUUUUAGUGACAGCAUGCAAUAGACUUACUGUGCAUUAGUACAGAGUCAUGGUUUUUUACAUGACACUUCAAUGUGCAGUAAAAUAGUCUACUACGUAUUAAAGUGCAUAUAUAGACAUGUCCUGAAUUUUUCAUCCCUAUAUGGGCCACAGAGCCUGACAUAAGCAUUCCAAAAACAGCAUAGCACAGAAGAAGUAUUUCAACCACCUUGGGUACACACCGUAGCUGUUCUGCCAGUAUUUUUAGCACCCAGAACUACUCAAAAUAAAGUCUGUCUGCAGCAGGCUCCUAUGUCUUUGGCACCUGGUGCAGUCUUGCCUCCAUUCUCCCUCUGGAGCAGUGUGUCCAGUUGCAGGGUUCAUUUGGGAAUUCUUGGAAUUUCUGGUUUUCUGGCCAGAGCCAAGCCUCCAUGGCUUUUUGGGUGAAAGGAGCAAGGUGUCCCAAACAAACCCAUACCUUCCUCUCCAUACUAGGGGCAUUCAGGGAAGAACACUCCUGCUUCUAGAAGGCUCUGUCUUGAGCCUACUCAAGACUCAGGCCGAGGCCUCUACUGUGUUGUUGUAUGACUUUCUCUCACUUCCAGGGUCCGGGUCUACCUCUACACCCCUUUACCAACUUUUUCCAUUACCCUUCCUGGGCUGUCCCUCAGCUCUCCUAGUGCACAGUAUGCUACAGACUUGCUUGCUCUCUUGCUUUGAAUGAAGACUACUCAACCACAAAAACCCUCUCUGCAAUUCUUCCUUCUGAGAAUUAGACCUCCCAGAAUCCCUUUGUUCUCUAAUGAGCCAAGGCCAAGACAGGCUUAGCCACUUGCCCCCUUAAGGGCCAGCAGGCAGUGUUACAUUACCGUAGGUGUGACCUUUAGGAAACAUAUCCUGAGCAGGUGUGUGUGUGUGUGACCCCAUUAACUUUACCAGAGCUAUGUCUAUUGAAAUAAUGCUAACUCAGGCUUGGGUCCUUUUUUGCAUAAUACAAUUAGCUUGCUCACAAUUAUAGUAUUUAACUAUCACUUUGUCAGCUAACCUUUGCUAAUAUUAAGGGUGUUCAACAAUGAAGUAGUCACCAUUUUGAGUCUGUUUCUGGUUUUCAGAAAGCUGUUAUUUUUCUGAUUCAUAAUUUAAAAGGCAAAUGCAAGAGAUUGGGAGAGGAGGUUUUUAGAAUAAAACAUUGAAAAUGGCUUGACUACAUUCCUCAGUAAUUUUUACAUGUCCUUUUAUUCACGUGAAACAAAGGCUUCUACCAGGGAGAUUGAAGGCUCCUGCAAAAUGAAUUCAAUUUAAGCUUGCCCUUUGGAAGUACUGUCAAGUCAUUUCCUGUGCUUUUGAAAUAAAGGCCUCCAGUGGAAAUGUUCAGCAGCUACUGCAUAUUUCUAUGUGGUUUCUUUGUAGUAUUGAACCUUCAGCAACUUGCACAGAAAGCAGCUAUUUUAGAGCACACUCUUAAUAGACACACAUUAAAAAUAUCUCUUAACUGUGUUGAAGCCCAGGAGACUGAAAACAAAGAAGCUACUGCUCCUAAGUACCAUCUCCUUAAUGGUGAAGUAAUGCAGGAGGAAGCAUCUGCAGGUAGUAAGUGAGGGUUUGAGGUCCUGAAAUAUUUUAUGCAUCAGGAUUUUAACUCUCCUUGUCAUUUUGUCCGUCAAUGUAAUGAGUGAUAAAAUAUCCUCUUUAGCAGUCUUAAGGGGACAGUUCCCUCCUGUUUAAUCCUUGUUGUGUUUUUCACUCUGCCUGUCAUUACUGCACCUACAACUUGAUUUUCUUGAGGAGACCCUGUUUUGUUAACACCCUCUCAAUUAUACAGGGAGAAAAAUGGUUUUCAUGUAUGCAUGCAAGAGAGUACCAAUGAUAUCAACCAAAUGGAGUGUCAAGGAGGAAUAAGUAAAAACUUGUCUGGAUCAGAGCUUGGGGAAGGAAGCUUGAAGCUAGGUUUUUGUUUUACAAAACCUUGUCCUAUUUGGAAAACAGAGGGUGGUUUAGGGUCUAAGUGACCAAAGUUCAGCUGUGGUGGUGGUGAAUGGGGUGAGAGGGAGUACAGAUAAACAUUUCACUUGUGGGAAUCAAGGUAUUUUUAAAUUCUGCUUUGUAAACCCUCUUCAGUUAAGACUUAGCCCAAGGUUGGACUGGGUUCCCCCCUAUUCAGAAAUGAGCUGAAUGAGUAUGGUCUGGGGUCUCGUCUGCAGGGUGAAUGAAAGGAGAAUAUUAAACCAACAUGAGACUUGAGACCAUGGAAGUCUUAACACAGACAUUGUACUGGGCCCCAUAGUUCCCUGUACCGUUUUUCUUCAGUAAGGCUUGCCUUACUUUAGCUUGAUAACUGUUGAUAUCUGUGGUGCAGGAGUGGAUCCUUCAAAUGUCAGUUAAUGGGACUAAAGGAUUUAGUUCAUUUCAAAAGCAAAGAGACAACCUUGAACUACUGUGGCUUGUAGCAAAGUGUUUAAUAAAGUACAGUAUCAGAAA